AGAGUUUGAUCAUGGCUCAGAUUGAACGCUGGCGGCAGGCCUAACACAUGCAAGUCGAGCGGUAGCACAGAGAGCUUGCUCUCGGGUGACGAGCGGCGGACGGGUGAGUAAUGUCUGGGAAACUGCCUGAUGGAGGGGGAUAACUACUGGAAACGGUAGCUAAUACCGCAUAAUGUCGCAAGACCAAAGUGGGGGACCUUCGGGCCUCAUGCCAUCAGAUGUGCCCAGAUGGGAUUAGCUAGUAGGUGGGGUAACGGCUCACCUAGGCGACGAUCCCUAGCUGGUCUGAGAGGAUGACCAGCCACACUGGAACUGAGACACGGUCCAGACUCCUACGGGAGGCAGCAGUGGGGAAUAUUGCACAAUGGGCGCAAGCCUGAUGCAGCCAUGCCGCGUGUGUGAAGAAGGCCUUCGGGUUGUAAAGCACUUUCAGCGGGGAGGAAGGCGAUAAGGUUAAUAACCUUGUCGAUUGACGUUACCCGCAGAAGAAGCACCGGCUAACUCCGUGCCAGCAGCCGCGGUAAUACGGAGGGUGCAAGCGUUAAUCGGAAUUACUGGGCGUAAAGCGCACGCAGGCGGUCUGUCAAGUCGGAUGUGAAAUCCCCGGGCUUAACCUGGGAACUGCAUUCGAAACUGGCAGGCUAGAGUCUUGUAGAGGGGGGUAGAAUUCCAGGUGUAGCGGUGAAAUGCGUAGAGAUCUGGAGGAAUACCGGUGGCGAAGGCGGCCCCCUGGACAAAGACUGACGCUCAGGUGCGAAAGCGUGGGGAGCAAACAGGAUUAGAUACCCUGGUAGUCCACGCCGUAAACGAUGUCGAUUUGGAGGUUGUGCCCUUGAGGCGUGGCUUCCGGAGCUAACGCGUUAAAUCGACCGCCUGGGGAGUACGGCCGCAAGGUUAAAACUCAAAUGAAUUGACGGGGGCCCGCACAAGCGGUGGAGCAUGUGGUUUAAUUCGAUGCAACGCGAAGAACCUUACCUGGUCUUGACAUCCACAGAACUUAGCAGAGAUGGUUUGGUGCCUUCGGGAACUGUGAGACAGGUGCUGCAUGGCUGUCGUCAGCUCGUGUUGUGAAAUGUUGGGUUAAGUCCCGCAACGAGCGCAACCCUUAUCCUUUGUUGCCAGCGGUUCGGCCGGGAACUCAAAGGAGACUGCCAGUGAUAAACUGGAGGAAGGUGGGGAUGACGUCAAGUCAUCAUGGCCCUUACGACCAGGGCUACACACGUGCUACAAUGGCAUAUACAAAGAGAAGCGACCUCGCGAGAGCAAGCGGACCUCAUAAAGUAUGUCGUAGUCCGGAUUGGAGUCUGCAACUCGACUCCAUGAAGUCGGAAUCGCUAGUAAUCGUAGAUCAGAAUGCUACGGUGAAUACGUUCCCGGGCCUUGUACACACCGCCCGUCACACCAUGGGAGUGGGUUGCAAAAGAAGUAGGUAGCUUAACCUUCGGGAGGGCGCUUACCACUUUGUGAUUCAUGACUGGGGUGAAGUCGUAACAAGGUAACCGUAGGGGAACCUGCGGUUGGAUCACCU
rnacentral:rRNA from 1 species